GGGUAACGUCAUCAGAGCGCACCGGAAGUGGCUCCAGGAUGAAGAGUAAGCGGGGUUGAAGGUGUGGUCUACGUGCCUUUUCUCAGAAAGAGGCCAAGGAGUUGGAUGUAGACGUACAGUGCAUGGCAGGAAGUCUGGGAGCAGCGGAGAUACAGUCUUUUUCUCCCUCUGCAUGAACUCUGGAAACAGUACAUCCGGGACCUGUGCGGGGGACUGAAGCCUUGCCCCUUGGGGUAGAACCCAAGUCUUACGAUCACUGUAAACGCAGCCUUCGGAGCCAGCCGGCUGCAGGAGUUUGUAGACCUGUGUGCUCCCUCCAGAAUCUUGAUGGUGGUCAACACUGAGGGCUUCUGUUUACCUCCUAGACAGCCACGGAUGAUUCAGGCCAAGCGGUUAAAGGCAGAUCUUCAUGGGGCUGUUGUUUCAGUCACAAAAUCCAAAUGCCGCUCCUAUGUGGGUGUUACAGGAAUCCUUCUACAGGAAACAAAGCAUGUCUUCAGAAUCCUCACCAAAGAAGACCGCCUGAAAGCUAAACUGUGUGUUCACAGUGGAAAUCGAUGGCUUCAUUUCCUACAUUUAUGGAAGCAAAUUCCAGGUUCGGUCAAGUGAGUGAUCUGUCAAGAAGUUCAAAGCCAAGGGAACAGUUGACCUGUGAGCUGUUUGCCGCGGACGCAACUGUUUUGACCCCAAGCACCAGGAACACCUGAGUGCCCACGUGUCAGCGAACAGAUGGCCGGGUCGGCUCUGGUUCUAGAGCGCCCCCCCCAGCCCAUUAACACCAGAGUUAGGAACAAUUCAUCAUCCGUAUUGAGCAAAGAAGGCCGGGAACAGAGGGAUGUAUGUUUCUAGGUGAUGACGGGCGUGUUCUGCUCCCGUGAGAGGAAACCCUGGCAGGAUCCGCACAGGUUGCCCUGAUUGGUGCCAGUGUGAGGUUUUUAUUUUUUUCUCAUCCUCCCUUGUGUCUCCUGAAUGUUCUGUGAUGAAUCGUGGCUUAUGUACUAAUAAAACACACGUGUCGGCACAAGAGGCUCCUGGUGAAGGCUGAGCCCUGCGGCACAGCCAGGCCGGAAGGGAAGCAGCCCGAGGCUGAGCCUGGCGGGGGCCCCACUUCUGCCCUGUAGACAGAGCGUCCCAAGGGCAGGGGCUUGGCCCAUCUGAGGUGUUGCUUUACAUCACGCCCCCUGUGGAACUCUGGGACCGAACGGCGGUCUCCUGUGCUGUCUCAGGAAAGUACGGAGUGAGCGGUGAGGUCGCAGAGGGACUUUGGGCUCAUGGGCUCUGGAAUGGGCACUGGGAUGGGCCCGGAGGCAGGCUGCCCGGUCAGGUGCUGCUCCCCAUGGGCGUUCAGUACACGGAGCUUGAACGACAGAGCCUUCUCAAUCCCGUGGCUCUUGGGCUCCAGGGCAGGUCGGCUGACAGGGAACGAGACUGCAGCUCUUUCCAAGCGCUCACGUCCUAGGAGAGCCGGAGUCCGCACCAGGGACUCCGCUGGUCCCUACUGCCUGCUGCCGCCGGAAGCCUUGGCUCUUGGGUCUGACUCGGCCCACGUGGCAUGUGCCUACCGGCCACUAGGGGAGGGGCUCGCAAGCAGCCCUGAGUGGGGAUGGGGCUCGUGCGGCUUCUAGCCUGUGGUGGUCGGAAAGCCGUGUGGCUCAGAGGGACCGAUGGCCCUAUUCCUUUGAGAAGUCAGCGUCUGCCGACCGGCCAGGUGAGACAGAAACACUGCUGGGAGCAAACCAGCUGCAAAUCCGUGAGCUUUUUCUUUUGCUCCAGGAGAAGCAGCAGCACUGGACACUGGGCUCUGUCCGUGUGUCCCGCUGGCCCACACUGGAGGAGAAGAGCCCUGGGCCAGGAAUGUAAACUCUGACUCUGACGGGGGCACAGGAAGGCCGCGCUCGGUGCCGCUGCGCCUCUCAAAGCCUGGGGCUGCACCCGUGUCCCUCCGUGCAGGCUCCGUGGCUCAUCAGGUUGGUCCAGGGCUGGCUCGGAUGUGCUCCUGCUGCCGCCGUCACGGCCUGUGCUGCUGGUCUCAGAUCCCAGCCCCACCGGGGACAGGGCAGCAGGCCCGGCCACUGAGCCCUGUUUUCUGACAGCCUGGUUUUGCCACAACGGACUCAGCCUCAGUCCUCACUCGCCCAGGGCCUCACCACCUGAGAGGGUUGAGCUGGGAUUUGACCCCCAUGGUCUGGCUGCAGAACCGUGCUUUUGACCACGGGAUGAGAAGAUUCUGCUGUACAUGUGUAACGUGGUCCCUUUAGCACUGGGCUCCCACUGAGGAGGUCACUGCCUUCUACGUGGAGUGGCUCAUUGUUCCGACCAUCCGAAUGUGCCUCUCCGGUAACGGCCGGGGUGCUGUAGUUCCCUGAACCACACUGCUCGUGCCCACCCCCCGUAAUGGAAAAGGCGGGCAGCGUGUAAAUAUACAGCUGCCUUCCAGAAAUGCUGUUGGUGCCACUUGGCUCGUGAAAUCUGUUUUUCAUGGCGCAGACUCACGUUUCCGUGUGGAUGGCUGUUUCAUUGGUAGCCUUCUCUCCCCCCUUCCCCGAGGACACUUGACAAGAACACUCACCUGCCAUGAAGCUGCCACUGUGCCUGCCUGUGUCCGGGAUGCCCUGUUGUCCCUGCAGCCCACCCGGCGCCACUGGGUCUGUUCCCUGAGGACGUGCCAUCCUCCGAGGGCCCAGGCCAGGCAGGAUGCCGGCUCUCGGUGAGCGUCCUGAUGAAGCGGCACUCACUGCUCCCCAGAGCCAGGCCGAGGCCUCUGGAGGUGCCCCGGGGCUGGCCACGUUCCCGUGGCUGUGGCUUAGGGCCGCUUGUGGAUGGCGCUGUGGUAGUUUGCAGUCCAGGACCCCAGUAGAGCUGCGGCCUUGGGGCUGUUGGCUCGUGGGAGACACAGCUGCAUCGGCCUCAUGUGUCAGUCUUCCCGCACCGGAGAAACCAGAGAGACCCGCGCAGAAGCAGAGUGGUGACCAGCUCAGGACGAGACUCAGGAGCCACAGGGCCAGCAGACAGCAGCCCGGGGACCCGCUGUUCUCCAAAAAGCAUUAUUCCCCAGAGCUGACUCCGUGUGGAGGAUGGGGCCUUAGUGCAGGGCCCACCGGGGACAGGCCGGAGCCUCUCCAGGGGAAGAAAAGGACAAAGCAGCUGGAGGGGAAGGUGAGGGGCGGCACGGGCCAUGGCCACCGUGUUUUAGUGUGGGCUGCCGUAACACACUGCAGAUGGGCAGUACAAACAACAGAACAUUCUACCCACCGCUCCAGAGGCUGGAAGUCCAAGAGUAAGGUGCCUUCAAGCUUGGGGUGUGGUGAGAGCGUUCUCCUUGGCCACCUUCUUGCUGUGUCCCCACAUGGCCUUCCUUAGUGCACACCUGCAGAGAGAGAUGUGGUGUUUCUUCCUCCUCUUAUCAAGACACCAGUUGUGUGGUUAGGGCUCCACCUGUAUGACCUCAUUUCACCUUAAUUACCCCCUGAAGGCUCUGCUUCUCAGUGCAGUCACAUUAGGGAUGAGGACUUGGACAGGAGUUCGUGGGGACAUAAUUCCGUCCACAAUCGCCAUGGAGCUGCCCCACCCAGGAUAGGAACGCCCUGUUGGAGCCCCUCAGAAAGGCUGCAAGACCCACUGGCUCCCAUCUGCCGACACGGGCCUGGCCACACCCCUGCUCAGGGUGCUUGCGCCACUAGCGGGUUCAGUCAGACCCGCCGCUGGACGCUGAGCUCCCCUCACCACUGGGUUCCAUGACUGGCUCAGGCAGGAACGUAGGUCCCGCGGCCCCUCCAUUGCCAGCUUCCCCUUCACUUCUGUGAACCACUGAGCUCCUCCCUCACCCUCCCAUCGGGGCCAGGCACAGUGGUGGGAGAGGAAAUGGGCACACAGGUGGCAGGGUGGAUAGGGAGGCUCCCUGGAGGAGGGGGCUCGAUCCAGGCAGCUGUGGGAUGUGAAGAGUGACACGGAGGCUCAGGACCAGCCUGGCGGAGCAGUCGUGGAGGCCCCAGGACAUCAGCUGCCCGUGAGACUCAGGGCCAGCAGGAAGGAAGGUGGGAAGGGGUGGUGGGGCUCUGGCUGCCAGUCCCAAACCCAUAGGAGGUGCGUCAGGUCCUGCCCAGUUCAGUGGGAGGAGAGCGGCGCUAGAGAAGUUUUAAGCCUCGGGUCAGGGUGCGGAAUCCUGCUGACCCGGUCGCCCAGUGCUGACAUCUGGGGGCCUCCGUGUCACCAUCUGGCAAAGUGGGGCCGUGAGGCCAGAUGAGGGUUUUCUGAAGGGGGAUCCUGGAACUUCGUGCAUCUGCACUGGUGUCAGCAGGACACCUGCUAAAAGCUGCCAGCUCCUGGGCUGCAGUCAGACUCCAGGGCUGGGGCCCAGACAGCUUCGUGUGUCUCUCAGACCCCAGCUGGCUCCUCCAGUCACUGAAGUGUGAGGUUCGCGGACUCCAGAUGGUGUCUAAUGUGUCUUCCAGCUCUGACGUCUGGACUGUGAUUUAAGAUUUGGGACUCUCGGGAUGGUGUUUUCCGGAUGCUGGAAAAGAUUGUCAGAUGACUGAUCUCUCAGGUUCUGAAGAGUAAACAUGAGCAUUCCCCCCACAAGCCAUAAAUUAUGGUAAAAAGCUUGCUUUCUGGACAAUAGCUUUCGU